UUGAAGCUUUGAGAGAAGAUAAAAACCAGAAACUAGGAUUUCUAUAAGAAGCCCUAGCGAUGGCGGAAGAAUCAUCAUCACCAUCUGUUAUUCUUCAGUUUGCUCCAGUCCAAAGUGCUGUUGAUGAUGGAUUAAUCUCCGGUCUCAGUCACUGGUAUAAAGUUAAAUUCUUAAACAGUUCUCUCCCUUUCUUCGUUAAUCGUUAUGAUGAUAUGUAUUUGUGUGGUUGGCAUGGAGUCGGAGAUGGGUUUGUGCGAUUUGGAGUCUGCCAAGGGUUUGAGGAGAACACACUCAUUUCAGUCGUGGUAACAUCAGAUCAUGCACACAACGUGUUUGAGGAAAUGCCUGAGAGACCAGUUGAAGAACACAGAUCGUGGACAGAGUUUGGGUGGAGAAAGUACUGAUGUUUGUUCUCUAUCAUGCCUUAUGGUUUUGUGAUUUUGCAUUCAUCUAACUUCUGAGUUUCUCUUUCUAAGUCAUUCAUGCAUCUCUUAAUGUUGUCCAUUGGCAGAGCUGUAAGAGGGAAAUAAUGCUGCGGUUUUUUAGUGGUGAGGAACGUACGAUUGUUUUUUAAUGUAAGAAUCUUCUUUCAUUUUAUUGUAUGUUUGGGUGCAGCUGAUUGUGUUGGGUGGAUGCGUGAUAUCGCAACUUGAAUGGAAAUCAAUUCAUACUUUCCUUAUUAAUGGCUCUAAUCUGAGUUCAAUUGUAAGGAAAAUUUCUACUGUUUUGUGCUUUCUCAAAUGUGAGGCAUCUGAAAAUGUUAUCAUCCAUGGACAAUAUCUUAUGUUUACAGCUUUGAGGGUCUUUGAUUGAGGAGGGAUGUUUUAAAGUACGAUUACUACAUUGGUGCUCGGCCAUUAGCAGGAAGACUCACCCGAGUACAUUCACCAAUUUAGUUGCAAAAGUCCCAUGUCUUCUCAUCCGCCAUUCAAGGAGGCUCCUCUUGGUAAUAUUUCCACAAUUGCACUCGGUGACACAGAUUCACAAAUGCCGUAUAUUGAUAUCAGUGUCAAUUGGAUGUUGGUAAGAAAUAAGGAUGGCUCUGCAAAUAUGCGAAACCAUUCUCUCAGGACAUAAGUGGAGUCUGGUGGUAAAAAUAUCCAACUGAUGAUUUUCUUUUAACAUGCACUAUAUAACUACGAAGUUUGUAGUCUUUUGCAUCUUUCCCCUGCAGUGAUGUUUGUGCAGUCCAUGUGAGGGAGUAGUGUUCAUACCUAUUUCGCUUUUUGGAAAACAGGAUGACUGGGAAGACUCCAUGGCUGCCUUUUGGUUUGGCAUCUCUUUUAUGUCAUCCUUGGAGGCAGAAAUGUACGUGGUAUGAUUCAUGUUUUCCUGCCAUUCAAUAAAUUAAUCAUGUUUCUUAGACAUAGCUAGGAAGGUUGGAGUUUUAGCCACAUGAAGAAUCCAUCACAAAUGAUUAAACACAGUCAAACUUAUGGAGAUGGUAUCGCUUAAAAAAUUGGGUCCAUAUCAAUUCACUUAUCAACAGGGGAUAAAGAACCAGAGGUUAAAGUGGAUGAUGUAAGAUGUAAUACGAAUUGUGGCUGUGAAUAGUGACGACACUGAUUCCAGGUAGUUUCAUCACAGAUGUCGUUUGUUGCUAUAAUACAACAUGCUGCUACAGCUGUCAGCAAAAACACUUCUGCUUUAGUGUAGUACUUUUGUUCCUUCUCUUAUUCUUGCUUUAUUUUCUGUUCAUCUUGCACCAUUGAGUCAGUAGAGGGUCUACUACAAUGACAUCUACCAUUGCAAUGGCAGAAGGAACAACUGUGGAAGUCUCUCAGGAGGAAAAGAAGUAAAGUCAUUAACAGUUUCAGGGUUGGUAGGGGUUAUCAUAUACUUAGCCCUCCGUAUAAGGGAUCUAAAUUUCUGAUUUUUUGUGUUCGUGAGCGACAUAGGAUUUUGUCUUUAUACUCUUAUUGCUACCCUUGGGGAUCUUUAUGUUUUUUUUUUGGCAGUGUUAGAGCUUUGAUGCAAAAGAAAGAGGAUGACUUUUCAAAAA